rnacentral:rRNA from 1 species
UACAGAGGUCUCAAGCGUUGUUCGGAUUCAUUGGGCGUAAAGGGUGCGUAGGCGGCGCGGUAAGUCGGGUGUGAAAUCUCGGAGCUUAACUCCGAAACUGCAUUCGAUACUGCCGUGCUUGAGGACUGGAGAGGAGACUGGAAUUUACGGUGUAGCGGUGAAAUGCGUAGAUAUCGUAAGGAAGACCAGUGGCGAAGGCGGGUCUCUGAACAGUUCCUGACGCUGAGGCACGAAGGUCAGGGGAGCAAACGGG